UACCAGCACCCCGAGUGGUCGGGACGAUUAUUGGGCCUAAAGCAUCCGUAGCCGGUCAUGCAAAUCUUCCGUUAAAUCCAGCCGCUCAACGGUUGGGCUGCGGAGGAUACUACGUGGCUAGGAGGCGGGAGAGGCAAGCGGUACUCAGUGGGUAGGGGUAAAAUCCUUUGAUCCAUUGAAGACCACCAGUGGCGAAGGCGGCUUGCCAGAACGCGCUCGACGGUGAGGGAUGAAAGCUGGGGGAGCAAACCGG
rnacentral:rRNA from 1 species